AUUGAACGCUGGCGGCAUGCCUUACACAUGCAAGUCGAACGGUAACAGGUCUUCGGAUGCUGACGAGUGGCGAACGGGUGAGUAAUACAUCGGAACGUGCCUAGUAGUGGGGGAUAACUACUCGAAAGAGUGGCUAAUACCGCAUGAGAUCUACGGAUGAAAGCAGGGGAUCGCAAGACCUUGUGCUACUAGGGCGGCCGAUGGCAGAUUAGGUAGUUGGUGGGAUAAAAGCUUACCAAGCCGACGAUCUGUAGCUGGUCUGGGAGGACGAUCAGCCACACUGGGACUGAGACACGGCCCAGACUCCUACGGGAGGCAGCAGUGGGGAAUUUUGGACAAUGGGCGAAAGCCUGAUCCAGCAAUGCCGCGUGCAGGAUGAAGGCCUUCGGGUUGUAAACUGCUUUUGUACGGAACGAAAAGCCCUGGGUUAAUACCCUGGGGUCAUGACGGUACCGUAAGAAUAAGCACCGGCUAACUACGUGCCAGCCGCCGCGGUAAAAC
rnacentral:rRNA from 1 species